CCUUGCUGCCACCAGCAUGGAGACUUUGUACCGAGUCCUAUUCUUAGUGCUCGAAUGUUCCAACCUGAAGCUGAAGAAGCCGCCCUGGCUGCACGUGGCGUCGGCCAUGAUUGUAUAUGCUCUAGUGGUGGUGUCUUACUUCCUGGUCACUGGAGGAAUAAUUUAUGAUGUUAUUGUUGAACCUCCAAGUGUUGGCUCUAUGACCGAUGAACACGGGCAUCAGAGCCCAGUAGCUUUCUUGGCCUACAGAGUAAAUGAACAAUAUAUUAUGCAAGGACUUGCAUCCAGCUUCCUGUUUACAAUGGGAGGUUUAGGUUUCAUAUUCCUGGACCGAUCGAAUGCACCAAAUAUCCCAAAACUCAGUAGAUUUCUUCUUCUAUUCAUUGGAUUCAUUUGUGUCCUAUUGAGUUUUUUCAUGACUAGAGUAUUCAUGAGAAUGAAACUGCCGGGCUAUCUGAUGGGUUAGAGUGCCUUUGAGAAGAACUCAUUGGGUACUGGAUUUGCUCCUGUCAAUGAAGUUUAAAGGCUGUCCAAUUCUCUAACAUGAAAUGUGGAAAAGAAUGAAGAGCAGCAGUAAAAGAAAUACCUAGUGAAAAAACAGGAAGCAUAUUGAAGCUUGGACUAGAGUUCCUUCUUGGUAUUAAAGAGGCAAGUUUAUCACAGUCUUUUUUUUUCCUGCUGACCUAUUGCUGUAUCAACGAUGUUGAGUAGCAUUUUCUUCUUAGUUUUU